rnacentral:rRNA from 1 species
AGAAUCAACGCUGGCGGCGUGCCUAACACAUGCAAGUCGAACGAGAAAGUGGAGCAAUCCAUGAGUAAAGUGGCGACCGGGUGAGUAACACGUGACUAACCUACCUUCGAGUGGGGGAUAACCUCGGGAAACCGAGGCUAAUACCGCAUAACAUCGCAAGAUCAAAAGCAGCAAUGCGCUGGAAGAGGGGGUCGCGGCUGAUUAGCUAGUUGGCGGGUAACGGCCACCAAGGCGAAGAUCGGUA